rnacentral:rRNA from 1 species
GAUGAACGCUAGCUACAGUCUUAACACAUGCAAGUCGAGGGGCAUCAGGAAGAAAGCUUGCUUUCUCUGCUGGCGACCGGCGCACGGGUGAGUAACACGUAUCCAACCUGCCCUUUACUCGGGGAUAGCCUUUCGAAAGAAAGAUUAAUACCCGAUAGCAUAAUGAUUCCGCAUGGUUUCAUUAUUAAAGGAUUCCGGUAAAGGAUGGGGAUGCGUUCCAUUAGGUUGUUGGUGAGGUAACGGCUCACCAAGCCUUCGAUGGAUAGGGGUUCUGAGAGGAAGGUCCCCCACAUUGGAACUGAGACACGGUCCAAACUCCUACGGGAGGCAGCAGUGAGGAAUAUUGGUCAAUGGGCGCUAGCCUGAACCAGCCAAGUAGCGUGAAGGAUGAAGGCUCUAUGGGUCGUAAACUUCUUUUAUAUAAGAAUAAAGUGCAGUAUGUAUACUGUUUUGUAUGUAUUAUAUGAAUAAGGAUCGGCUGACUCCGUGCCAGCAGCCGCGGUAAUACGGAGGAUCCGAGCGUUAUCCGGAUUUAUUGGGUUUAAAGGGAGCGUAGGUGGACUGGUAAGUCAGUUGUGAAAGUUUGCGGCUCAACCGUAAAAUUGCAGUUGAUACUGUCAGUCUUGAGUACAGUAGAGGUGGGCGGAAUUCGUGGUGUAGCGGUGAAAUGCUUAGAUAUCACGAAGAACUCCGAUUGCGAAGGCAGCUCACUGNGACUGCACUGACACUGAUGCUCGAAAGU